rnacentral:rRNA from 1 species
AGUGGCGCACGGGUGAGUAACUCGUGAGUAAUUUACCUUCUCGGUGGGGAAUAACAACCGGAAACGGUUGCUAAUACCGCAUAACGCAGCGGAAUCUUCGGAUGACAGUUGUUAAAGCGGGGGAUCCGAAGCAAUUCGGACCUUGUGCCGGAAGAGAAGCUCGCGGCAGAUUAGGUAGUUGGUAGGGUAACGGCCUACCAAGCCUGCGAUCUGUAGCCGGCUGAGAGGGCGGUCGGCCACACUGACACUGAACAUACGGGUCAGACUCCUACGGGAGGCAGCAGUCGGGAAUUUUGGCAAUGGGCGCAAGCCUGACCCAGCAACGCCGCGUUAAGGACGAAGUUUUUCGGAAUGUAAACUUCACAAGACGGGGAAGAAUAUGUUAAGGCAAAUACCCUUGACGAUGACGGUAACCGUAGUAAGCUCCGGCUAACUCUGUGCCAGCAGCCGCGGUAAUACGGGGGGAGCAAGCGUUGUUCGGAUUUACUGGGCGUAAAGGGCGCGUAGGCGGUCGUCUAAGUCACUUGUGAAAUCUCCGGGCUCAACCCGGACCCUCCAAGUGAUACUGGCCGACUAGAGUGCGGAAGGGGCAACCGGAAUUCCUCGGUGUAGCGGUGAAAUGCGUAGAUAUCGAGAGGAACACCUGCGGCGAAGGCGGUUGCUGGACCGACACUGACGCUGAG